AAGCACAAUCCAUGAUACAUUCAUUUAUUAUUGUUACUUAACAAUUUUAUAAUCAGUUUGCAUUAUGUAUUCUUCAUUUCAAGUCACAUAGAAUGACUGAAAACUAAACCUGUGUGAUCUAUAGGUCAAUUUAAUCUCAUGUAUUAUCCUUCAAAUUUACAUGUUGAUUUUUGAAUAAGUAUUGAUUAAAACUGUAUUCUUUUUUUCUCUCUUUCUAUUUUUUUUUUAAAAUAAUUGUCUAUAUCUACAUAAUGAUGUUUCAGUAUUCUUUACUUUUCAGUAUAUUAAUUAAGACUAGAAUAUUUGAUAUUUUUAGCUCUCAAGUCUUGUUGAUGUUUCACAAAAGAAUACAAUAUUAACUGAAAAUGUAUAAUUAAAUCUGCUUGUUUUCUUUUAUAUUGUCUUUUAUGGUAUAUACCAUAUGUUUCAAGUAUAUACAUGUAUCUAAUCAGAUGCAUCAAUAUAAUUGUCAGAAUUGAAAAAAAUGCAUUGACUGUAUUAUAUAAAUGUAAAACCAUCUAUUUAUUUUAUUUUUCAAUGGCAAAAAAGGGGGAGGGGUCAUUUAGAUGUUUAUGUAUGUAUCAAUUCUGGUGCACAUCAAAAAAGGAUAGAAAUGCAAUAAAUAUGUGCACACUUGUAUAAACUUGUCAGAAUUGCAAGUCUGUAAAGAUUUUCUGUAAUUCUUUUUUUUUUCAUAAUGUGGUAUAUACAUAUGUGUAUUAUAUAUAAAGAUAAAACUGGUGGUGUAUGACUGGGGAAGCGAGGGCUGGUAACCAGCCAAGUGUGCCUUAAUAAAUUCAACUUACAAAUG
rnacentral:sRNA from 1 species